rnacentral:siRNA from 1 species
UCGAGUCUUUGAACGCAAGUUGCG